rnacentral:rRNA from 1 species
AGAGCGCAAGGGGAAUGCCUUGGCAUCAGGAGCCGAUGAAGGACGUGACAAGCUGCGAUAAGCUUCGGGGAGCUGCAAAUGAGCUUUGAUCCGGAGAUUUCCGAAUGGGGAAACCCCCUGCAGUAAACCUGCAGGAACCUGCUAUGAAUCAAAUAGUAGUAGGUGGGGAACCGCCUGAACUGAAACAUCUAAGUAGGGCGAGGAAAAGACAUCAACCGAGAUUCCGCUAGUAGUGGCGAGCGAACGCGGAGGAGGCCAAACCGGGAGUAGCAAUAUUCCCGGGGUUACGGACAGACAUCAUGAUUGAGGGACGCUAGACGAACGGCAUGGGAAGGCCGGCGAUACAGUGUGAGAGCCACGUAGUCGAAAGCAGAACUUGACAGUCUGGAUCCAGAGUACCGCAGGACACGAGGAACCCUGUGGGAAGUCGGGGGGACCACCCUCCAAGCCUAAAUACUACCUGAUGACCGAUAGAGGAGCAGUACCGUGAGGGAAAGGUGAAAAGAACCCCGGGAGGGGAGUGAAAUAGUACCUGAAACCUUGUGCUUACAAGCAGUCACAGCCCGUUAAAGGGUGGUGGCGUACUUUUUGUAGAACGGUCCGGCGAGUUAUAGUCACUAGCAAGCUUAAGGUAUUCAGUACCGGAGGCGUAGGGAAACCGAGUCUGAACAGGGCGUAUGAAGUUAGUGGCCAUAGACCCGAAACCAUGUGACCUAGCCAUGAGCAGGAUGAAGUGGAGGUAAAGCUCCAUGGAGGUCCGAACGCACGUUCGUUGCAAUGACCGGCGAUGACUUGUGGCUAGCGGUGAAAUUCCAAUCGAACUUGGAGAUAGCUGGUUCUCCCCGAAAUAGCUUUAGGGCUAGCGUUGGCAAUGAGUUUCCCGGAGGUAAAGCACUGAAUGAGCUAGGGGGCGCGAGCUUACUGAACUCUAUCAAACUAAGAAUGCCGGAGAAAUGCUUACCAGCAGUCAGACUGCGAGUAAUAAAAUCCGUGGUCAAAAGGGUAACAGCCCAGACCCACAGCUAAGGUCCCCAAUACAUGCUAAGUGGAAAACGAUGUGAGAUCGCAUAAACAACCAGGAUGUUGGCUUAGAGGCAGCCACUCGUUCAAAGAGUGCGUAAUAGCUCACUGGUCGAGUGAUUUUGCGCGGAAAAUUUAACGGGGCUAAGCAUGUAACCGAAGCUUGGGAUUACGCUUUUGCGUAGUGGUAGGGGAGCGUCGUGUACGGGGCGAAGUCGCACCGGAAGGAGCGGUGGACUGUACACGAGUGAGAAUGCCGGAAUGAGUAGCGAGAAUUAUGUGAGAAUCAUAAUGGCCGAAAAUCUAAGGUUUCUUGGGGAAGGUUCGUCCGCCCAAGGUAAGCCGGGAGCUAAGGCGAGGCCGAAAGGCGUAGUCGAUGCACAUACGGUUGAAAUUCCGUAGCCACCUUAUCGAUUAAAAGCUGACACAUGGAGAUAGCGGGACCCGGGCGUUGGUUGACCCGGGCGAAAGGGACCGAAAUCAAGUAGGGAAGUCCGCGAUGCUCUGUGGCGAGAAAAGGCGAAGGUAAGGUGCCCGUACCGCAAACCGACACAGGUAGAUGAGGAGAGAAUCCUAAGGCCAACGGGAGAAAGGUUGUUAAGGAACUCGGCAAAAUAGCCCCGUAACUUCGGGAGAAGGGGCGCCUCCGAAAGGAGGCCGCAGUGAAAAGGCCCAAGCGACUGUUUACCAAAAACACAGGUCUCUGCUAAAUCGAAAGAUGACGUAUAGGGGCUGACGCCUGCCCGGUGCUGGAAGGUUAAGAGGAGAGCUUAGCGCAAGCGAAGGCUUGAAUUUAAGCCCCAGUAAACGGCGGCCGUAACUAUAACGGUCCUAAGGUAGCGAAAUUCCUUGUCAGGUAAGUUCUGACCCGCACGAAUGGCGUAACGAUUUGGGCGCUGUCUCAACAGCCUACCCGGCGAAAUUGUAGUACCGGUGAAGAUGCCGGUUACCCGCAACUAGACGGAAAGACCCCAUGGAGCUUUACUGCAGCUUAAUACUGAGAUUCGGUAAUUCAUGUACAGGAUAGGUGGGAGACUUGGAAACAGGGGCGUCAGCUUCUGCGGAGUCACCCUUGGGAUACCACCCUUGGAUUGCUGGGUUUCUAACCUGCGGCCAUGAAUCUGGUCGGGGGACACUGUUAGGCGGGCAGUUUGACUGGGGCGGUCGCCUCCUAAAAAGUAGCGGAGGCGCUCAAAGCUUGGCUCAGCAUGGAUGGAAAUCAUGCAAUGAGUGUAAACGUAUAAGCCAAGUUGACUGCGAGACCGACGGGUCGAGCAGGGACGAAAGUCGGAGUUAGUGAUCCGGUGGUAUGUGAGUGGAAAUGCCAUCGCUCAACGGAUAAAAGCUACCCUGGGGAUAACAGGCUGAUCUCCCCCAAGCGUCCACAGCGACGGGGAGGUUUGGCACCUCGAUGUCGGCUCGUCGCAUCCUGGGGCUGUAUUCGGUCCCAAGGGUUUGGCUGUUCGCCAAUUAAAGCGGCACGCGAGCUGGGUUCAGAACGUCGUGAGACAGUUCGGUCCCUAUCUGUUGCGGGCGUAAGAGAUUUGAAGGGAGCUGUCCUUAGUACGAGAGGACCGGGAUGGACUGACCUCUGGUGCACCAGUUGUUCUGCCAAGGGCAUAGCUGGGUAGCUACGUCGGGACGAGAUAAACGCUGAAGGCAUCUAAGCGUGAAACUCCCCCUAAGAUAAGAUCUCUCAUCCUGAAAAGGAGUAAGGCUCGUCGUAGACUAUGACGUUGA